GAUCAUGGCUCAGGACGAACGCUGGCGGCGCGCCUAACACAUGCAAGUCGAACGAGAGAGAAGGAGCUUGCUUCUUCGAUCGAGUGGCGAACGGGUGAGUAACGCGUGAGGAACCUGCCUCAAAGAGGGGGACAACAGUUGGAAACGACUGCUAAUACCGCAUAAGCCCACGGGUCGGCAUCGACCUGAGGGAAAGGAGCAUACCGCUUUGUAGAUGGCCUCGCGUCCGAUUAG
rnacentral:rRNA from 1 species